AUAGCUGGAAUAUGGAUGAGUGUGGCGUUAAGCACCAACGAAACCAAACCAAACUUUGAACUAUGUAAAUUCACACUUUCGAACUUCGACAACUAGUGCCAGUCUGAUUGUGGCCAUUGCAAUCUAAAAUGUCAUCUAGCAUAGGCAAUGACACUCGUGUAAACUGCUACCAACAACCAUAUCAGGAGACACACUUUGUAACUUAGGACAUACACAUGCAAAAAACAGACAUAAUAUACCUACAUUGAUUUAAUAUACUGUCGUAACAUUCUUGGAUUCAAACAGUGAUGUGAUGGACACCUGAUUGACAGUUAUCUAAUAUCAAACACGAGGCUUGUUCUUUUCUUAUCUUUUCUUGUAGGAUGUGCCGUAGGAACGCAUGGGAUUAACUGUACAGCAGAUUGUGGGUGUGAGGAUUUCAAGGCCCGUGACACAUACAGUGAGGAGUGUUCCAAUUGGGGAAUUCCAGUGACAGCUGUCCUUGUUGUGUUGUUGAUCUGCACAGUGACUGGGGGAACCAUAUACAUCAGACGAUUGUUGAAACAACUGGAGCGCUUGAAGACCAAGAUGAGAGAGGAACACUAUGUGACACUUGAUGAAAAGACAAAGAAAACAGCAACAGAAAGUGCAUAUGAACAUAUCGACAAUGCCACGCCCUACUACAAUACAGUCAAUCAUGUUCUGGAUGAAACUGAAUGAAAUUACAAAGGUUCCAGCAACAGAAAUACGAACAUUUUGACAAUUCUAUUCCAUAUUACAAUGUCGUCGAUCAUCUUCAUGAUUAAAUUUGAUGAUUUUAUCAUCAACGAUAAUGGGAACGAUACCACACUGCAGAAAUAUGUAUUUUCUAUUUUUCACCAUCAAAGUACUUGGUAAAAAGCACCAUCACUAAGUGACACAUUAUUGUGGACCUUUAGUGAGUGACCGAACAUUACGAGUAUGUACAUGCAACACAGACAAUUACAAUGUCUAUAUUACAAUAUCGGGGUUCAUAUUUUCAUACGAUCCCCUAGGGCAAAUUAUCAUUUUGUUAUGGUGACGUGAACAAUGUUAUGACAUCACGUUUCUUCUGUGACGUUGCGUUCUACAUGCGGCGAC